UACGAAGGGUGCUAGCGUUGUUCGGAAUUACUGGGCGUAAAGCGCGCGUAGGCGGCUAUUCAAGUCAGAGGUGAAAUCCUUGGGCUCAACCCAAGAAUUGCCUUUGAAACUGCAUAGCUAGAGUGUCGGAGGGGAUAGCGGAAUUCCUAAUGUAGAGGUGAAAUUCGUAGAUAUUCGGAGGAACACCAGUGGCGAAGGCGACUUACUGGACACAUAUUGACGCUGAGGUGCGAAAGCGUGGGGAGCAAACAGG
rnacentral:rRNA from 1 species